CGGGAAGAGUGGAGACCACCUCUUUUGGAAGGAGAUGACCUCUGAGUUUUUGGUCCUGUCUGUUGGGCUCAGGACCUAAGGUCUCAUUGCAAGAGGUAGCCAGAUUUCUACCAAGAACCCUUCUAUCUCUCAGCUGAUGACCUUCUGCCUUUUGGAAGAUGUAUAUAUAAUUUGAUACCAGGAUUCUUCUUUUAAAAGUACUGUGUCCGUCCUAAGGAAUCAUCCCUCUUAGGGAUAAAUCGAUGGGCAUCGGUAUUUGGGAAGGAUGGCAUACAGACUGAAAGGGGACGUGCAUUACUACUCCAAGCUCUGAAAGUCUGAAUCUGGAACUUCACCCUAAGAACAUGUAAGGCUCAGAGCCGGCUCAGAACCUGAAACUUCCGCCUCCUUCUUUCCAGCAACGCCCCCCCCCCAUCUCACCCCUCGGUGUGUCCCUCUUUCUGAUCUGAAUGCUCAACCAGUGCGGCUCCGCACCUGCGAGAGCCAACGAUCCAACCAAGGGGAGUUUCCGGGCCAUGCAGUGCUGUCAAUGACUUGAAGUAUUCGUAACCGAUGGUCAGAGAUCGCUUCCUCCAC